AUGUUAGAAACAAUAGGGGCAUCAAACCAGAAUACAAGCACACACAUGUGAGUCUGCUAGGACUUAGAAUGAUGUGGGCGGAGGGUUCUUGUUGGGUAUUGUUUGGUGGAGUUAUGUGUGUGGGAGAGAGAAGGGAACGGGGAGAAACACAAGAGAAGCAGAGAAGGCAGCAAGGAAGCUCCAGAGUCCAGACACGGGUGGCCUGAACAAGCACAGUGCGUGGUCCUGAGAAAAGCCUAGAAAGAGUUUUCAAGCAAACAGACAGGACCUUCUGUCCAACAGGGGCCCAAACCUUGUGGAAGGGUGGGAAAGACUUCGGCCGACUAGGAUCCCAUAAGACUGACAGAUGAGCUUUGCACUUCCUUACUUGGCACUAGCAGAAGUAGAGCACAACUGAUACUGAGGUGGGACCCUCUGACAUUACAAGAAACACUCUCCAGGGAUGUGGGGACAGGAGAGAUGGCACUGAUGAACAGAUGACUCCAGUUCCUCUCAAUGCUUCCUUCUCUCA